GUCGGUCUAAAUACGGCAGGGGAAAUACCUGGUCCCAUUCCGAACCCAGUCGUCAAGCCCUGACGGCCAAUGAUAGUCCUAGCUUAAGUUAGGGUGAAAGUAGGUGAAGGCCGACA
rnacentral:rRNA from 1 species